rnacentral:rRNA from 1 species
GAGGGGGGCGAGCGUUAUUCGGAUUACUGGGCGUAAAGCGCACGUAGGCGGCUAGGUAUGUCAAAGGGUGAAAGCCCUCGACUCAACCGAGGAACUGCCUUUGAAACUGCUUGGCUUGAGUCCGGGAGAGGGGAGCGGAAUUCCCAGUGUAGCGGUGAAAUGCGUAGAUACUGGGAGGAACACCGGUGGCGAAGGCGGCUCCCUGGACCGGCACUGACGCUGAGGUGCGAAAGCGUGAGUAGCAAACAGGAUUAGAUACCCUGGUAGUCCACGCCGUAAACGAUGGGCACUAGGUGCAGCGGGUGUCGACCCCUGCUGUGCCGAAGCUAACGCAUUAAGUGCCCCGCCUGGGGAGUACGGUCGCAAAGGCUG